rnacentral:sRNA from 1 species
CCCUAGCCCCGAUAGAAGUGAAAAUCCUUUUGUGCCGGUGUUCGGCACAAAAGAUUGCAACGGAUAGCGGGAUAAAGC